rnacentral:lncRNA from 1 species
CAGCAGUGAGUUUAUUUGCCAGAAAUAUCAAAUGCUAACGAACAGCUUGCUGUAGUCCUGGCCUUGGCUUCCAUCAUUAACCUGAUUAGACCAGAAUUAUCUGCAAUGUUCUUGGAUGUUCUUUCACUGGUAUUAGAAGGUCGUUAAACAAUGGGCAUGUAUUUUGCAAGCUCCACUGGGAUUGCUUUUCAUUUCAAGCAGAGAGACUGAACAGCAGCAGACCUUUCAAGAGGUCUCAGAAGACCCUACUACAUUGUAUAUCUACAGUUAAGACAGAGAAUUGUGUUCAAAUGAAGAAAGUCCAAAAGACUGAGAAUGGCAUCACUGGAAAGGCCAUGGGGAAUACACCAGAGCUGGAUGCUCGAGAAGAGAAAGUGCUAAAGGUUGACUUCAAUGGGAAUGCUCCCUGGCGAAGGUGA